AGAAAUUUAGGCUAAUAUAGACCAAAAGCCUUCAAAGCUUUAAGCGAGAGUGGAAAUCUCCCAAUUUCUG
rnacentral:tRNA from 1 species